UAUUAUCACCCCUAUCAUGCAUUUCGAUUACGUUCCCGCUCUACGCUCCGCCGGAGUCGAAAUUAGGUAUCAUGCGUUACGAUUGGAUUGAAGGAAGAAGAGGAAGAGCUAUAACUCUUUCGAAAUCAGCUGUUUGCUUUGAAAUAUGUGAAACUGGAACAUCACAAAGCAAAAAUGCACAAAUUACUGCUGUUCAAAGAAAAUAAAUAAAAGUAAAAUUUUUAUAUUGUUAUUAUUUUUAUUAAACGUAACUAUGGAAUCUUUAUCCGCGGCGAUAUUACUGGUUGAGGAGGAGAGCAGCGCAUCUCAGAAUGCUGGGAUGAGAAUUGAAAGAAGAAGAUUACGAGAUAUGUGCGAUCCCUUCCAGAUGAAUGACGGGCUAUUCAGAAAAACUUUCGUCUGAAUAAGGACGCAUGUCCUAGAUACGUUUGCGGAAGAAACGACGGCAAGUAAAUUUGAUGCUACCUCUUUCCAAAAAGCCUGCACAUCUUCCUUAGGACGCUGGUGGAAACCGUUGGCUAUAUCUAGCUUACUCUCCACCAUAUCUGCCAAUUUUCCAUAUUGCUCUGGUGUUGUUGUUUUUGACCUGAAAGCAUAUCAAAAAACAUCACUAAAACUGGAAAUGUCGUGUGUUUUACAACUCUUAAAUAAAUACAAGUUUUACUUACAUUUUUAGAAAAUUAAAAAAAAAUCACGCAAAUAAUAAUAUUUUCGCAGCAAAAUAAAAACACAAAAAGUUCUCCGCCAACAAAAUUGCAAUUUAGCAAAACGGAGCUACGAUCGAAAUGCAUGAUAGGCAGAAUUGUAAAUUUCGAAGUUGAACUGAACGGGAACGGAACGCAUGAUACCAAAGUCGCCAAACGGAGAAAAUUUCAAUCCAAGUCGAAA